UGGGGAAUAUUGCACAAUGGAGGAAACUCUGAUGCAGCGACGCCGCGUGAACGAUGAAGGCUUUCGGGUCGUAAAGUUCUGUCCUAGGGGACGAUAAUGACGGUACCCUAGGAGGAAGCCCCGGCUCACUACGUGCCAGCAGCCGCGGUAAUACGUAGGGGGCAAGAGUUGUCCGGAUUUAUUGGGCGUAAAGGGUUCGCAGGUGGUCCUUUAAGUCAGAUGUGAAAGAUCACAGCUCAACUGUGGUAAGCAUUUGAAACUGAAGGACUUGAGUUAAGGAGAGGAAAGUGGAAUUCCUAGUGUAGCGGUGAAAUGCGUAGAUAUUAGGAGGAAUACCAGUGGCGAAGGCGACUUUCUGGACUUAUACUGACGCUGAGGAACGAAAGCGUGGGGAGCAAACAGG
rnacentral:rRNA from 2 species